AAUUAAAGAAAAUUGACGUAUGUCACAACUUGCCGCUUGUUUUUUUGUGUAUCACCCUUAAAUUUGUUUUUAUUUUAUGUUGCCGGAGGAUCCCUAGAGAAUUGGCGACUAUGAUUGUUAAUACAUAUACCACAUAUUUCAUAAGUGUUAAUGGAAUUUAGACGUGAUAAAUCAAAAACCCUUGCCGAGAAACGAGACAGUGAAGGGCUAUUUGAAGAUGACUUGCUGCCACACGAAAAUAACUCCUCUACAAGCACCCCGGUACGGGGCGCUAAUGUGGGAACUUAAUCUGAGGAAGAGGAAAGUCCUUGUUUUACUGGAUACACCCAAGAGCUGCUGUGAGAUGAUGUAGAUGUUCUUUGGGAUUACAGUUCACAGUCAAUGCUUAAAAAGGUUUUUAGUAGAAAGUCGAAGAAAAAGCCGUAUUUAACUAACCUUGGAUAAUCUUAAGGCUCUUUUGGUAGCAUAUACAGUAUUGUGCAAAAAGAUAGCAUCAUUGAACUUUCCUGCUAUAUAUCUUUUAGCAUCUAUUUUAUAAGUAAGGUUUAUAUAUUAUUUACAAGAAUAGUUAAAGCCUGUUUAUAUUUUCAUAUUAUCAUAUUUUUUGUAUCAUAAUAAAUAAAACACCAAAUUGUUUUAUGCAAAUUUAUUAUUCAAAAAUAUAGCAACAAAAAAUAGUUUUGAUUCUAAAAAAAAUAUAACCCGACUAAAUUAAAAUCAAUUCCAUAUUUUGUGUAGUACC